CCUACGGGAGGCAGCAGUUAGGAAUAUUGGUCCAUGGGCGGGAGCCUGAAACAGCCAAGCCGCGUGAGGGAAGAAGGUACAGCGUAUCGUAAACCUCUUUUGUCAGGGCACAAAGGCGGGGACUAGUCCCCGGAUGAGGGUACCUGAAGAAAAAGCAUCGGCUAACUCCGUGCAAGCAGCCGCGGUAAUACGGAGGAUGCGAGCGUUAUCCGGAUUUAUUGGGUUUAAAGGGUGCGCAGGGGGCCUGUUAAGUCAGCGGUAAAAGCCCGGGGCUCAACCCCGGCGAGCCGUUGAAACUGGCGGGCUGGAGGUGGAGAGAAGUACGCGGAAUGCGCGGUGUAGCGGUGAAAUGCUUAGAUAUCACGAAGAACUCCGAUUGCGAAUGCAGCUUACUAAACUGCCACUGACAUUGAUGCUCGAAAGUGUGGGUAUCAAACAGGAUUAGAUACCCCAGUAGUC
rnacentral:rRNA from 1 species